rnacentral:rRNA from 1 species
AGAGUUUGAUCCUGGCUCAGAGCGAACGCUGGCGGCAGGCUUAACACAUGCAAGCCGAGCGGGCGUAGCAAUACGUCAGCGGCAGACGGGUGAGUAACGCGUGGGAACGUACCUUUUGGUUCGGAACAACCCAGGGAAACUUGGGCUAAUACCGAAUAAGCCCUUACGGGGAAAGAUUUAUCGCCGAAAGAUCGGCCCGCGUCUGAUUAGCUAGUUGGUGAGGUAAUGGCUCACCAAGGCGACGAUCAGUAGCUGGUCUGAGAGGAUGAUCAGCCACAUUGGGACUGAGACACGGCCCAAACUCCUACGGGAGGCAGCAGUGGGGAAUAUUGGACAAUGGGGGCAACCCUGAUCCAGCCAUGCCGCGUGAGUGAUGAAGGCCCUAGGGUUGUAAAGCUCUUUUGUGCGGGAAGAUAAUGACGGUACCGCAAGAAUAAGCCCCGGCUAACUUCGUGCCAGCAGCCGCGGUAAUACGAAGGGGGCUAGCGUUGCUCGGAAUCACUGGGCGUAAAGGGUGCGUAGGCGGGUUUUUAAGUCAGGGGUGAAAUCCUGGAGCUCAACUCCAGAACUGCCUUUGAUACUGAAGAUCUUGAGUCCGGGAGAGGUGAGUGGAACUGCGAGUGUAGAGGUGAAAUUCGUAGAUAUUCGCAAGAACACCAGUGGCGAAGGCGGCUCACUGGCCCGGUACUGACGCUGAGGCACGAAAGCGUGGGGAGCAAACAGGAUUAGAUACCCUGGUAGUCCACGCCGUAAACUAUGAGUGCUAGCCGUCGGACAGCUUGCUGUUCGGUGGCGCACCUAACGGAUUAAGCAUU